UACGGAGGGUGCAAGCGUUAUCCGGAUUCACUGGGUUUAAAGGGUGCGUAGGAGGGCAGGUAAGUCAGUGGUGAAAUCUCCGAGCUUAACUUGGAAACUGCCGUUAAUACUAUCUGUCUUGAAUAUUGUGGAGGUGAGCGGAAUAUGUCAUGUAGCGGUGAAAUGCUUAGAUAUGACAUAGAACACCAAUUGCGAAGGCAGCUCGCUACACAUAUAUUGACUCUGAGGCACGAAAGCGUGGGGAUCAAACAGG
rnacentral:rRNA from 1 species